AUUGAACGCUAACGGCGUGCCUAACACAUGCAAGUCGAGCGGCAGCAUGACUGUAGCAAUACAGUUGAUGGCGAGCGGCGGACGUGUGAGUAAUGCAUAGGAAUCUGCCUUGUAGUGGGGGAUAACCCGGGGAGACUCGGGCUAAUACCGCAUAAUCUCUACGGAGCAAAGUGGGGGACCUUCGGGCCCUACGCUAAAAGAUGAGCCUAUGUUGGAUUAGCUAGUUGGUAGGGUAAAGGCCUACCAAGGCAACGAUCCAUAGCUGGUCUGAGAGGAUGAUCAGCCACACUGGGACUGAGACACGGCCCAGACUCCUACGGGAGGCAGCAGUGGGGAAUAUUGGACAAUGGGCGAAAGCCUGAUCCAGCAACGCCGUGUGUGUGAAGAAGGCCCUCGGGUUGUAAAGCACUUUUAGUGGGGAAGAAAAGUUCAUGGCUAAUAUCCAUGAAUGCUGACGUUACCCACAAAAAAAGCACUGGCUAACUCUGUGCCAGCCGCCGCAGUAA
rnacentral:rRNA from 1 species